rnacentral:lncRNA from 1 species
AUAGGCUAAGCAGGCUUCAAGAGAUAAGAGAAACUUGUUGAAACCAGUCCGGAUAUUGAGAUUGAUUGAGGUCAAAUUUAAAGUUAAUAUGAAGACUUGAUGUUAUUCUUUUAUUUUUAUAAAGGGUGCGGUUUGUAUCAUAGUCAGCAAAUCGGUGAUUAAUAGCCGAUUUUUUCAGAAAAAACGGAGCGUUUUUUUAAAAACGUUUAAAACGAGACAAAAAAAAACGUUCUUUUUCUUGCUG